rnacentral:lncRNA from 1 species
UGCCAACACCUAAACUUCCAAAGGAGGGACUCCUGCCAACGCUGCGGGGAAUUCCGGUCGGGUGAUCACUUCGGUAGCUACGGUGGUGGCAGGGGUGGCUCCUCCUUUGGAUUCGCCACCGGCUCCGACGUCCGACCUGGUGAUUGGUACUGCACUGCGGGAAACUGCGGUACCCACAAUUUCGCCAGUCGUUCCAGCUGCUUCAAAUGUGGUGCAUUCAAGGACGACCCUGCCGGAGGUUUCGACAGCGACGUUCCGCGUUCUAGAGGAUUUGGC